UGCCGGGAAGCUCCGGGAGGCGGGAGGAAAGGCGCGCGCAUCGGCUGGCGGCUCACAGGAGCCGCCUGGGGCCUCAAACACCAGGUCCGGCUACCUCCGGGUUGUGACCCAACUACAGAAGUCCUGGUGGAGCACGGGCACCCCACCCACGGAAGCUGUGAUACAGCCUGCUCCCGCGAGCACCACGAGUGGGCGGGCGGAAACCCCGAUGCUCGCCCUGCCCCCCUUCCCCCGCGCGCGCCGCUGGGCUCGCUAGGUCCCUCCCAGUCCCCAACGGUUUGGUCUCCCGCGCCGCCCAGCCUGGCCGCUCCCAUCCCCCACCGCCUCCCGGGCACGCGGAACCCUACGCCGUUUCCAGGGCGACAACUUCGCACUGCUGCAGAGGGCCACCAGUGUCCGCGGGGAGAGGAGACACCAUCAGCAGGGACCCCUUGCCAGCACUCGCGGAAAGGAAACAGUUAAGGCUCAGUGGCCCCGCUCCACCCCAGCUGCCUCAGUGCCCCACCCCGACCGUAAUCCUUGUGCGCUGCCAGCACUGAUUUAGGUUACUGCAGCUUGCACAAACCACCGUGGCAAAGAAGCCUGAGGAGUUCCAACUUCAGAGCCCUUCUCUGGCUGGGCCUGGAACAUCUCUGGCCCACAGGCUUCAACUCAGAGCUUAAGGACAGCUCCUUUGACUGGUUCCACUCAGACACUGACCCCAGUGAAGUUAGCAAGACCCUCUGGGCUGGGAGAGCACUGGCCUCAUGCUGCCUACAACCUUCCUAAACUACUGUAGCCUCGUGUGUACAGGACUUCUCACCUUCUAUAUGUGACCAGAGCGUGGCACAUAAGGCAGGCCCAGAGCAGGACAGCCAGCUCCCUCCAAUCAAGACAGGGGGCCAUUUCAAGUCAUCUCCACAAAUGCUGGCGAAAACCAGCCAAGUCUGCCCCUGGGCACCAGGACGGCCUUGCCCUUUCCUCUCUUCCCUUGCUUACAUGUGCACCAUAUCCUCAGGUUUGUCAUGUGAACAAACUGGUCUAGGCCAGGCUUGACCUCGUAGAUGGAAAUGAAAAGGAUUAUAGAAUUCCUGCUUAUAACCGGUCAUCUGAAGUAAAUGCCUGCCUCCUCUUU